GAGAGGGCGACAAAGGCCGCACUGCGGCUGCCGCUCCCCGCGCUCCGAUGCGCCCGCGCUGCAGCCGCUGGGACCCGCCGUCCCCGCAGGGCCGUCUGGAGAGGGGGCGCGGGAGCCUCGGGCAGGGUUGAGCUUUCAGUUGAAUGGUGGAAUGUUUCCUUCCUGGAGCUGAGGUUGAGGCCCACUGUCUCCGCUGCUCCCCACGAGGUGGUUGCUAUUCUCCGCAUCUCACAGAAGAGGAACCAGGGUCUUCGCAGAGGUUUUAAAAGCAGAAUUAAAGUGUAAAGAAGAGGGAAAUGGCUCUGAUGCAGCAUUUACAUAAGAAACACAUUCAGAAAAAGAGGCUGUGAUGCUGAAAGUUUCCUUAUUAUACUGCACUAAAAAUCUCCCUUGGGAUGGGCGGCAGUUUAAAUUAGCUGGGGAGUGGAGGAAAUAAAAUCCCCCUUUUCAAAUUGCAAAUCUCUCCCAAACUGAACAUUUCGCCUGAGGAAAUGGCCACACUGUGUUCAGGAGCAGACAAAGCCCUCUUUGAUUGAGAGGUCCACCUUCUCAAGCCUUCAUUACAAUUCCCUGCCUCGCCCUACAUCCGCUGGACAAGUCCCUACACUGCGCUGGGGCUACUGUCACAGGCCUUGAGCGUCUCUCUCAAGGAGGCCCUUGUUUUAGUGGGUGUGCAGUUUGCUCUAGAAAUGUGUCCACAAGCCAUAUAAUUGACUCGAGAAAUCAAAGUCAGUGGAAAUAGCACAAAAUGUCAUCCACUUCCACAACCCCCUAUUCUGAACGUGUGUAUUCCUAUAUGUUUUCUCCAACAACUGUCAAGUAUUUACAUGUUAAACUGCAAAGAAUUCACAUAAUGCCAUCAACACAGUGUUCCGGCUGUCUAUGGCUGCAUAAUGAA